AUUACUUUGGCAGAAAAGUGCAUUAGGUUUAGAACCUAAAAAUAUAAUUUAAUUUAUAAGUAAUA
rnacentral:tRNA from 1 species